rnacentral:rRNA from 2 species
UACAGAGGUCCCGAGCGUUGUUCGGAUUCACUGGGCGUAAAGGGUGCGUAGGUGGCAUGUUAAGUUUGAUGUGAAAGCUCAGGGCUCAACCCUGAAAUGGCAUUGAAUACUAGCGUGCUGGAGGUUUGGAGGGGGGACUGGAAUUCUCGGUGUAGCAGUGAAAUGCGUAGAUAUCGAGAGGAACACCAGUGGCGAAGGCGAGUCCCUGGACAACACCUGACACUGAGGCACGAAAGCUAGGGGAGCAAACAGG